rnacentral:rRNA from 1 species
UACAGAGGGUGCAAGCGUUAUCCGGAUUCGCUGGGUUUAAAGGGAGCGUAGGUGGCUUUGUAAGUCAGUGGUGAAAUCUUAGAGCUUAACUCUAAAACUGCCAUUGAUACUGCUUAGCUUGAAUCACGUCGAGGUGGAUGGAAUAUUACAUGUAGCGGUGAAAUGCUUAGAUAUGUAAUAGAACACCGAUUGCGAAGGCAGUUCACUAGGCGUGUAUUGACACUGAGGCUCGAAAGCGUGGGGAUCAAACAGG